rnacentral:rRNA from 1 species
GACGAACGCUGGCGGCGUGCUUAACACAUGCAAGUCGAACGAUGAAGCUGGAGCUCGCUCUAGCGGAUUAGUGGCGAACGGGUGAGUAACACGUGAGCAAUCUGCCCUUGACUCUGGGAUAACUGCGGGAAACUGUAGCUAAUACCGGAUACUUUCACCGGGGGGCAUCCUCUGGUGAUGAAAGAAUUUCGGUCAAGGAUGAGCUCGCGGCCUAUCAGCUUGUUGGUGAGGUAACGGCUCACCAAGGCGACGACGGGUAACCGGCCUGAGAGGGUGGCCGGUCACACUGGGACUGAGACACGGCCCAGACUCCUACGGGAGGCAGCAGUGGGGAAUAUUGCACAAUGGGCGCAAGCCUGAUGCAGCAACGCCGCGUGAGGGAUGAAGGCCUUCGGGUUGUAAACCUCUUUUAGCAGGGAAGAAGCGAAAGUGACGGUACCUGCAGAAAAAGCACCGGCUAACUACGUGCCAGCCGCCGCAGUAA